UGAGCAAUCUGCCCUUCUCUUCGGAAUAAGCGUUGGAAACGACGUCUAAUGCCGAAUACGACCUCCUUUCGCAUGAUCGGAGGUGGAAAGCUUCGGCGGAGAAGGAUGAGCUCGCGGCCUAUCAGCUAGUUGGUGUGGGUAAUGGCCCACCAAGGCGACGACGGGUAGCCGGCCUGAGAGGGUGACCGGCCACACUGGGACUGAGACACGGCCCAGACUCCUACGGGAGGNAG
rnacentral:rRNA from 1 species